CAUUGAUGUAUCAAUAAAUUUAUCAUUGUACACGUCAAUUAAUAAAUCAUUUAAUAAUUAUUUGAUGACGAGCAUUUUAUACGCAUUAUCACGAACAGUCAUUAUUUCAACUAUUAACUUUCCACUGCUGAACACUUUAAAGACUCCCAAAACUCCCCAUGAGGGGAGUUUUGCCAGCAAUUGCCACAUUUGGCAGGCGGGUUUUUUUGGAUGCGUGAACAUAGUACGGUAACCUCAUCGGAAAAUUUCGAUAUGAAACCAUAGAUAAAAUAAUAUUAUUUUCUUCUGAUAAAAACACAAAGUUCCAGUUAUCAACGUGUAGGCUCAACGCUUACCUUGGUUACAGGAGUGUUAUCAGGAAAGCAUUAUCCAGGAGAAUUUUUCGACCAGCCUCUUUAGAUA